GUCUAUCCUUCCACACGCAGGGCUAGAAGCCAAAGCUUUCAGACAAAUUGGACAACAUAUUAGCAAGUUACCAAGUAAUCGCUCCAGGGAUUCAAGGGACAGUAUGGUCGAGCCCCAGGAUGGAAGUUCAAAAACUGAAAAGCUUUCUUGGAUUUUCAAGAAGCUGGGGAUCUAAGAUUCUGAAGUUUCCACGAAGAGGUCACCAUCAUCUGAUAUUUCAGAAGGACUCUGGAGUUGGCCCAAAGGACUGUUGAAAGAUCCAAGCCGUUGCAAAUUGAUUUGGUGUGGGAAGAUUCUCCUGAGGAAUGAAGAAAACCAGGGCCAUGUCACUUAGGGCAGCAAACCCCAUCGGCUUGACUGAGCAGCCAUUACCGAGGAGGCGACAGAGCCCGAGCAACUUACAGACCCGACAGGCAGGGCAGUGCUUUGUCAACUGGGCACAACACGUCCAUCUCGUGCAGUAACCAAUGGCAUCUUAAGCACAUGCAACAAAAGUGGGAAUAGAGGAAAAAAGAUGGGCUGCAAAGACAGAACAGACUCAGCAUGCGACUCACGGCAAGUGGAGGAAGAGAAGGAAGUGGGACCAACUAAUGAUGAUUCAAAGAUUUCAAGUUGGUGGUGAAAGCAGUGGUGGUGACUUACACAGAAAUAAGGAACAGAUAAGGAGGCAAAAGCUUGAAAGAGAACUUCAACAUUCAUUCUAAAGAAGAAACUAAACUAUUGAGCACAUUGAUAGCUUUAUGUGCAAGCCCACAAAUUAAUUUGAAACAUCAAAAAAAAAUUUGGUGGACCAAUGAUGGUUAAUCAACUCUCUUCAAAUAAAUUGAUUUCUGAAU